GUGGGGGAGGGGAGGGAAAGGGACAGGGAAGAGGAGGGGAAGGGGGAGGGGAAGGGACAAGGAACAGGAGGGAGGAGGGGCCCCUGCACCUCAUUUGUGGAUGGAAGACAAUACUCACAGGCACCCUGGGGGUCUCCAGGAGCUCGGGGGAAGGGACUGGGACAGAGAGAUUGCAGCCAUCCACGUGAAUCCCUGCACAUAUGAAAACUAACAGAUAAACUACAAGUAGAACACAGCUUGAUCAAAGGAGACAUAUAUUCUUUUAAAUCCUCAUCAUACUUCUUUGAGGUGGGAAGACAGAAGGACCUACCAGAGCAGGAAGCUGGGUCCAGAAAAGAGCCCUCAGAUGGUACAUCUCACCAUGAUCCACACAGGACGGGUGGGAUUGGAGCACGGAGACGUGUGUGUUGCCAGCUCAGAGACUUCACAGUGCUGUCACAUGCUCUGGUGUGGCUCAAAGUCAGGGCUUUCCAGAUAUUUCAUCUAUGACAGAACCAUAAGCUGCCUCUGUAUCAGUGCCUUUCACUUUUUUGAUUAUAUGA
rnacentral:lncRNA from 1 species